UUUCCGUAGGUGAACCUGCGGAAGGAUCAUCAGAGGUACGAGACGGGGGGGGCCGCGCGUCCCCUUCUCCACACAUUGACGAGGACAGUAGAAACAGAAGAGGUGGUGGGGGGUGGGGGGCUUUUGGAGUCGAGCAAUCGGCCGUCGGCGCCCGCCCGCCACACAACAAUAUCCACAGCAACCAGCCAGCAUAUUCGACACACAAACGUAACAAUCAAAACUUUCAACAACGGAUCUCUUGGCUCCUGCAUCGAUGAAGAACGCAGC
rnacentral:misc_RNA from 1 species